rnacentral:rRNA from 1 species
AGAGUUUGAUCAUGGCUCAGGACGAACGCUGGCGGCGUGCUUAACACAUGCAAGUCGAGCGGUAAGGCCUUUCGGGGUACACGAGCGGCGAACGGGUGAGUAACACGUGGGUGACCUGCCCUUCACUCUGGGAUAAGCCUGGGAAACUGGGUCUAAUACCGGAUACUCACUUCCUGCUGCAUGGUGGGUGGUGGAAAGUUUUUUCGGUGGGGGAUGGGCCCGCGGCCUAUCAGCUUGUUGGUGGGGUGAUGGCCUACCAAGGCGACGACGGGUAGCCGGCCUGAGAGGGCGACCGGCCACACUGGGACUGAGACACGGCCCAGACUCCUACGGGAGGCAGCAGUGGGGAAUAUUGCGCAAUGGGCGGAAGCCUGACGCAGCGACGCCGCGUGGGGGAUGACGGCCUUCGGGUUGUAAACCUCUUUCGACUUCGACGAAGCCUUUCGGGGUGACGGUAGGGGUGGAAGAAGCACCGGCCAACUACGUGCCAGCAGCCGCGGUAACACGUAGGGUGCGAGCGUUGUCCGGAAUUAUUGGGCGUAAAGAGCUCGUAGGCGGUGUGUCGCGUCGGCCGUGAAAACCUGUGGCUUAACUAUGGGCUUGCGGUCGAUACGGGCAUCACUGGAGUUCGGCAGGGGAGACUGGAAUUCCUGGUGUAGCGGUGAAAUGCGCAGAUAUCAGGAGGAACACCGGUGGCGAAGGGGGUCUCUGGGCCGAUACUGACGCUGAGGAGCGAAAGCGUGGGGAGCGAACAGGAUUAGAUACCCUAGUAGUCC